AUCUUCCAUUUCCCUUUCUGUCUAUUUGUGCUCCUCUCCAUUCAUCCUUCUUCAGACAACCUUUUGUUUGCAGUAUAACUUUCAUCAGAACAAUUGUACUUUCUACACACAACUGUGCUCUUUUGCACUCUAUGAAUAUGCUGCCAAAUGCACCUUAUUCAUCGCUCCCCUCAAAUUUCUUUCACAAGGCUGAUAAGACAUAUUUUACUUAAAUAUGCAGAGAACUGUUGCUGCUAAUAUAAAGGCUGGGGUUUGCUAUGAAGUUAAUACAUACACAGUGAUUGAUUUAGCCAGCUGGUUUGUGUUUGUUAAUUCAAUGUAGGGCUGGGAAAUAUAUAUACAUCAAUUAGAUAUUAUUUGUGUUUUUGCACCAUGUGUAAAAUGUUUACAUUGUAAAAAUCUAGGUAUUACAACGUGCACAUAAAGAUGACUUUUAGCCAGAAAUGAAUGUAGAUGAUAGCUGAUUACAUUAGCAGUCUUGAGUCUUGACAGUCCUGUAAACUGUGAGAUGAAUAGUUACAUAAUAUUAUACAACGCUGAAGUUUCCUGGACUGUCAUGACUCCGGGUGGUGAGCUGGAUCUGGAUAUUUUAUAGUGAAUCUAAUGGACACAUCUAUGAGAGAGAUGGACUGAAGACUCCACACACUAAUAUGAGUGUUUGAUUUGGUUUGGUUUGUUGAUGAAGCAUUAUCUCAUUAUUAAAUGUAACUGAUUAUGAAUGUAGAUGUCUGCACUCUUCUUAUAUGAAGCAACUGGUGCUGACAGUCCUUAACCAGCCCUGAUUCAACAUAAAAAUAAAACUACAGGAGGUGCAAAUACUAGAUUUGUGACAAUUAAAACUGUUAUUUAAAAGGGAAAGAAAAACUAAGAAGUUGGAGAACGUGAGGUCUAGGGCAGGGGUGCCCAAACUUUUUCCCUUGGAGGGCCGAAACCUGAACUUAAUGGUGGGCCAUGGGCCAAAAGCAUACACCUACUGUAUUAUAUUGUUAAGAUGCAAAAUGGUACUAGGUUUCCUUAAGUUUCCCUAAUUGAAUAUUCUUUUAGCUUUUACAUAGUUAACACUUUAAAACCCCCCUGCUGAAUACAAUUGGGCUCAUUUCCAGUUGUACACAAUUUCUACAAUUCCAAGACGACAGUAUGUAGAAAUAGUCAAAUACACCAUUUUACAAUAGGUGAAAAUAAUACCUCAUUCAAAAAACUGCAUGUUUUUUUGCCCCAGACUGCAUGGGAUUAGCAUAAAGUGGGCAUGUCUGUAAAGGGGAGACUCGUGGGUACCCAUAAAACCCAUUUUCAGUCACAUAUCUUGAGGUCAGAGGUCAAGGGACCCCUUUGAAAAUGGCAUUGCCAGUUUUUCCUCAUCAAAAUUUAGCUUUAGCAAACUUUGGAGCCUCUUUCCCGGCAAGCUAACAUGACAUGGUUUGUACGAAUGGAUUCUUUAGGUUCUCUUGUUUCAUAUGAUGCCAGUAUCUUCACUCUAGCUCUAAAACAGCCCGUUACAGCCUCCAAAAGACGAUUGCGUUAAAGGAA